rnacentral:lncRNA from 1 species
AUCGACAAUGUCAAGGCCAAGAUCCAAGACAAGGAAGGUAUCCCACCGGAUCAGCAGCGAUUGAUUUUCGCCGGAAAGCAGCUCGAAGACGGACGUACCUUAGCCGAUUACAACAUCCAGAAGGAAUCAACGCUUCACCUUGUCCUUCGUCUCCGUGGUGGUGCUAAGAAGAGGAAGAAGAAGACCUACACCAAGCCUAAGAAGAUCAAGCACAAGCACAAGAAGGUCAAGCUCGCUGUUCUCCAGUUCUACAAGGUUGAUGGUUCAGGUAAGGUUCAGCGUCUGAGGAAGGAGUGCCCUAACGCUACCUGUGGUGCUGGGACUUUCAUGGCUAGCCAUUUCGAUCGUCACUACUGUGGUAAGUGUGGUCUCACCUACGUUUACCAGAAAGAAGGAGCUCAGGAAUGAAUUUCAUCUCGAUC